ACCUGGUCCAGGGUUGCGGUCGGGGAUGGAGCGGUUACCCCGACCCUGCGGGACCUUCUUCCUCUGGCGGAGGUGCACGGCGCGGCGUGGUGUUUUUCUGGCGGAAGUAUCUGUGCGUGGCCCCAGGCCCUUCCCGGCGCGGUCUCAUCUGGGGCCACUUGUUGGCCCUCGCGUUGGGGAGGUUCAUGUGGUGCAUCCUGAUGAGAAGGGGGGUCACAGGGGUCUCGGGGCCAGGGUUCAGCCAGCCAGGCCCCAGCUUGCUCUCUUCUGGUGCUGCCCCUGUCCCUGAAUUCAUAGACCCGGCUUUCCCUCUCUUGAGCACCUACUAUGUGCCAGGCUGCGCUUUGCGCAUGUAGCAGAGGCAACAGUGUCACCUGGGAAGCUGGUUUCCCCCAAAGGAACUCUUGUCUGUCCGUUGUUGCAGAGCCAGCGCAUGAGACCAAGUAUACAAGAUUUUAGAGACGGGAUUUCACCAUGUUGCCAAGCCUGUCU
rnacentral:lncRNA from 1 species